rnacentral:rRNA from 1 species
GACGAACGCUGGCGGCGUGCUUAACACAUGCAAGUCGAACGGAAAGGCCCUGCUUUUGUGGGGUGCUCGUGUGGCGAACGGGUGAGUAACACGUGAGUAACCUGCCCUUGACUUUGGGAUAACUUUAGGAAACUGGGGCUAAUACCGGAUAGGAGCUCUUGCUGCAUGGGGGGGGUUGGAAAGUUUCGGCGGUUGGGGAUGGACUCGCGGCUUAUCAGCUUGUUGGUGGGGUAGUGGCUUACCAAGGCUGUGACGGGUAGCCGGCCUGCGAGGGUGACCGGCGACAUUGGGCCUGAGAGACGGACCAGACGCCUACGGGAGGCAGCGGUGGAGAAUAUUGCACAGUGGGCGGAAGCCUGAUACAGCGACGCUGCGAGCGGGAUGCCGGCCUUCGAGUUGUAAACCGCUGUGGCAGGUGACAAAGAGUGAGUGACGGUAAUGAGUAAGGAAGCACCGGCUAACUACGUG